rnacentral:tRNA from 1 species
UGGGGCGUGGCCAAGUGGUAAGGCAUCGGGUUUUGGCCCCGUUAUUCGGAGGUUCGAAUCCUUCCGCCCCAG